GAGAUUUUUCGUUGUAGCAAUACGAUGGAAAAUUUAGUGGCGAACGGGUGCUUAACACGUGGGCAACCUGCCAUGAAGUGGGGGAUAGCUCGCCGAAAGGCGAAUUAAUACCGCAUGUGAUUAGAGAGGACAUCCUUUCGAAAUUAAAGUCGGGGCAACCUGACGCUUCUUGUGGGGCCCGCGGCCUAUCAGCUAGUUGGUGAGGUAAUGGCUCACCAAGGCUUUGACGGGUAGCUGGUCUGAGAGGACGACCAGCCACACUGGGACUGAGACACGGCCCAGACACCUACGGGUGGCAGCAGUCGAGAAUUUUUGACAAUGGGGGAAACCCUGAUCGAGCGACGCCGCGUGGAGGAUGAAGGUCUUCGGAUUGUAAACUCCUGUCAUUGGGGAACAAGGUGCAUACGUUAACUGCGUGUGUAUUGAUAGUACCCGAAGAGGAAGAGACGGCUAACUCUGUGCCAGCAGCCGCGGUAAUACAGAGGUCUCAAGCGUUGUUCGGAUUCAUUGGGCGUAAAGGGUGCGUAGGCGGCGCGGUAAGUCGGGUGUGAAAUCUCGGAGCUUAACUCCGAAACUGCAUUCGAUACUGCCGUGCUUGAGGACUGGAGAGGAGACUGGAAUUUACGGUGUAGCGGUGAAAUGCGUAGAUAUCGUAAGGAAGACCAGUGGCGAAGGCGGGUCUCUGGACAGUUCCUGACGCUGAGGCACGAAGGUCAGGGGAGCAAACGGGAUUAGAUA
rnacentral:rRNA from 1 species